CGUGCAAAAGUGAUGAAGUAUGCUUUAAGCUACUUCACAGCUGUUCAUGUAACGCUGGUGAGUGUGGAGACCCCGCGUCGUUUAGAGCUGCUGUGGAUGGAGCGCAGUGGAAACCACGACAUACCCGAUCCCCGUCGCCAGGCCGCUACAUCUCACCGCAACGCGGCCAGUACACCGGGCCGAUUCGGGGCCGUUCUGCAAGCCCAUAUCCGGAAAACUAAAGGUUCUCCCACCUCGACGAUCAGCUAUGGGCCAUCCAGCAAGCCCGCGAGGCGGCGAAGAGGCAAGACCUCGACGUCCCCACGAGGGAGCCCUAGGCCACGGCACUUAAAUUGAUGGUUGAUAAGAAAGUUUAU
rnacentral:lncRNA from 1 species